rnacentral:rRNA from 1 species
UACAGAGGCCACGAGCGUUAGGCGGAAUCACUGGGCUUAAAGCGUGUGUAGGUGGAUGGGUAAGUACCUUGUGAAAUCCCACGGCUCAACCGUGGAACUGCUCGGUAUACUGCCUGUCUUGAGGCACUCAGGGGCGAGCGGAACAGAUGGUGGAGCGGUGAAAUGCGUAGAUAUCAUCUGGAACGCCAAUGGUGAAGACAGCUCGCUGGGGGUGUACUGACACUGAGACACGAAAGCCAGGGGAGCAAACGGG